rnacentral:sRNA from 1 species
UGGUAGCGGCAUAGGCACAGGCAGAAGAGGCACCAGCGGCAGCAGCAUAGGCUUAAGCAUAGGUGGUAGAGGUACCAGCAGCAGUGGCACAGGCGGUAGAGGCUCAGGUGGUAGAGGCACAGGUUGUAGAGGCACAGGCAGUGGAAGCACAAAUGGCAGUGGCAGAGGCCUGUACCACUACCGCCUAAACCUCUGCCGUUUGUGCUUCCACCCCUGUUCCUCUACCACCUCUGCCUCUACCGCCUAUGCCGCUACCGCCUGUGCCUCCUCCGCCUGAGCUGCUGCCACUGCCGCCUGUGCCGCUUAAGCCU